CCUACGGGAGGCAGCAGUGGGGAAUUUUGGACAAUGGGCGCAAGCCUGAUCCAGCAAUGCCGCGUGCAGGAUGAAGGCCUUCGGGUUGUAAACUGCUUUUGUACGGAGCGAAACGGUCUGCCCUAAUACGGUGGGCUAAUGACGGUACCGUAAGAAUAAGCACCGGCUAACUACGUGCCAGCAGCCGCGGUAAUACGUAGGGUGCGAGCGUUAAUCGGAAUUACUGGGCGUAAAGCGUGCGCAGGCGGUGAUGUAAGACAGAUGUGAAAUCCCCGGGCUCAACCUGGGACCUGCAUUUGUGACUGCAUCGCUAGAGUACGGUAGAGGGGGAUGGAAUUCCGCGUGUAGCAGUGAAAUGCGUAGAUAUGCGGAGGAACACCGAUGGCGAAGGCAAUCCCCUGGACCUGUACUGACGCUCAUGCACGAAAGCGUGGGGAGCAAACAGGAUUAGAUACCCUGGUAGUCCACGCCCUAAACGAUGUCAACUGGUUGUUGGGUCUUCACUGACUCAGUAACGAAGCUAACGCGUGAAGUUGACCGCCUGGGGAGUACGGCCGCAAGGUUGAAACUCAAAGGAUUGACGGCUGAGACGNGCGAGGACGACGACGAGGGAGGAG
rnacentral:rRNA from 1 species